CAANUCGAGCGGAGCGGGAAAGUAGCUUGCUACUUUUGCCGGCGAGCGGCGGACGGGUGAGUAAUGCCUGGGAAAUUGCCCAGUCGAGGGGGAUAACAGUUGGAAACGACUGCUAAUACCGCAUACGCCCUACGGGGGAAAGCAGGGGACCUUCGGGCCUUGCGCGAUUGGAUAUGCCCAGGUGGGAUUAGCUAGUUGGUGAGGUAAUGGCUCACCAAGGCGACGAUCCCUAGCUGGUCUGAGAGGAUGAUCAGCCACACUGGAACUGAGACACGGUCCAGACUCCUACGGGAGGCAGCAGUGGGGAAUAUUGCACAAUGGGGGAAACCCUGAUGCAGCCAUGCCGCGUGUGUGAAGAAGGCCUUCGGGUUGUAAAGCACUUUCAGCGAGGAGGAAAGGUCAGUAGCUAAUAUCUGCUGGCUGUGACGUUACUCGCAGAAGAAGCACCGGCUAACUCCGUGCCAGCAGCCGCG
rnacentral:rRNA from 1 species